CGGUGAACAAACGUGUAUUAAUAUUAGUGGUUGAAAUUUUUUUUUUUUUUUUUUUACCAUUCACUUUAAUAAUGUAAGUUUUUUUUUUUUUUUUUUUUUUUCUACCAUUCACUUUAAUAAUGUAAGUUUUUUUUUUUUUUUUUUUACCUGGUAAAACCCAAAACACGGUUCCGAAAAAAUCAUUUGGGAAACAACAUCUUAAAUUGAAUAAAUUUAUAUUAAACAUUACAUAUACAUUUUUAUCUGCAUAUUUUUCUUUAAAUUUUUUAGUAUAAUAAAAAAAAUAAUUCUCCUUAUUUAUAUCGAAAUUUGCAGCAUUGUCAUUUACACUUUCAUUAUUACCUCUAUUUGUAUUACCAUUUUCAUAUUUUAAGUUUUUUUUACUCUCUAAAUCUUUUAAUAUGUAAUUCAUUUCGAACUCGGUUGAAGUACCUGCACAAAGGAGUAUAAAUAAACAUAAAACAAAAAUUAGGAAAUGUACCAUAAUAGUUGGGAGAAGCAGUAUAAUAAGAAAAUGUACCAUAACUAGGGAAAAAAAAAAAAAAACACCAUAAGAAAAAAAAAAAAAAAAAAAAAAAAAACCAUAACUAGGAAACAUAAUAAAAAUUGAAAAAGAUUGAUAUCAUGUAAAUAAUUUAAUUAAAAUAUAAAAUUGUUUAUUUAGUAUAUUACUUGCUAUAAAUAUGUUUGAAUCUGGAUAUGUUUCAAUUAUAUAUCUUGAAAAUUCUAAAUUCUCAUCACCAACAAUUAAAAUAUUAUUAUUGUUUAUUUCUUCAUCUUCUUCACUUUCCUCAUCAUCCGAUUUGUUAUCCCAAUUGUUAUAGUCUGAACUGGAAUCGUCUAAUUCGUUGUUGUUUAUACUAUGCUCAAGCAUACCUUCAUUAAUCACACCUUCAUCAAUCAUACCUUCAUCAAUCAUAUCUCCAUUAAUCAUAUCUCCAUUAAUCAUAUCUCCAUUAAUUAUAUCUCCAUUAAUUAUAUCUCCAUCAAUUAUACCUUCAUCAUCUUCACCAUGUUCAUCCAAGUUAUGAAUAUAACCAUUUUCAAACAUAAUACCCUGUUCUGUUAAGUCUUUAUUUUCUUCCAUAUCAUUAUAAACGUGCACUCCUAUUUCAUUACCCAAAUCACUAUCUACCGGCAAACUACUCGGAUC
rnacentral:lncRNA from 1 species